rnacentral:rRNA from 1 species
AGAUUGAACGCUGGCGGCAGGCCUAACACAUGCAAGUCGAGCGGCAGCACGGGUACUUGUACCUGGUGGCGAGCGGCGGACGGGUGAGUAAUGCCUAGGAAUCUGCCUGGUAGUGGGGGAUAACGCUCGGAAACGGACGCUAAUACCGCAUACGUCCGUACGGGAGAAAGCAGGGGACCUUCGGGCCCUGCGCUAUCAGAUGAGCCUAGGUCGGAUUAGCUAGUUGGUGAGGUAAUGGCUCACCGAAGGCGACGAUCCGUAACUGGUCUGAGAGGAUGAUCGAGUCAC